UACGAAGGGUCCAAGCGUUAUCCGGAUUUAUUGGGUUUAAAGGGUGCGUAGGCGGGUUGUUAAGUCAGUGGUGAAAUCUUGCAGCUUAACUGUAAAAUUGCCAUUGAUACUGACGAUCUUGAGUACACUUGAAGUGGGCGGAAUAUGUCAUGUAGAGGUGAAAUUCUUAGAGAUGACAUAGAACACCGAUUGCGAAGGCAGCUCACUAAAUUGUAACUGACGCUGAGGCACGGAAAGCGUGGGGAUCAAACAGGAGUUAGAAAACCCUUGGUUAGUACCCAG
rnacentral:rRNA from 1 species